UAAAACACCAGUAUCAUGUGUGUAGAUAGCUGGGAAGUCAGUCUCCAUCUGCAUCUCUGGAGCCUACGGUAGGAGCCUAUGAAGAACAACCUGAAGCUUUGCCAGGGCCUUCAGCUAUGGGUUUGGACAUUGUCCAGAAAGAGCACAAAGUUUCCCCCUACAACUUCUGGGAGGACAGCCUUGGAGACCUGCAAACACAUCCUGAGCUAGGGAGAGUCAGCAGGCCUGGGCCCUGAGGGGCAACCAGGGGUGACAACUAGGGUGCAUUACUCAGACUUGCUUCCUGGUGCCACUUCAGAGGCAUUAAUAUGUUUCUUUUGAGAACUGUCCUUUGAAAGAACUCUUGGAGUGGAGCUGAUUCUGUAAACUUGAUGCUAUCUGGAAACCAGAGGACCAAACAAGCAGCCUGAGGAGGCCAGAAACCCUGGGGAUGCGACCCAGGUAUUAGUUGGAGAGCCCAGGAGAGGCCCCAGGGAGGCGCUGAUGAAGUGGGACAGGACGUGAUCACUACUGUGAGCUUCUAGGUGGGGGACAGGGCACGAGAAGCCCCUCCCAGGGGUUGCCCGAAGUAGACGCCUAGGCUGAGACCGAGGACCCUGGCAGGAAGGCCUUCUAUAGAGACAGGAUCUUCCAUCUUUCUUCUACAAGUGGCUGAAGGAGGAAGUUGGAAAAUCAGUUAACGUUUCUCCAGUGCGUUCUCUUCACCUACAAAGCUGCAGAUUAGAUGACUAGUUUUCAUGCAUUAAAAAAAAAAAAAAAAUCAGCAAAAUGAGGCCUUCUGUGGAAGCCCAAUUAGGUAGAAGUGCAGCUGCUCUAUUUGAAGAGGAAGUUGGGGCCCCAAAGCCUUCCCAGAAGCCCCCUCUGCCAACCUUCCUCCACCCCUCCGUGGCCCCUGAAGGGAGCUCUGGUUUUUCUAUAAACAGAUUCCAUCUGGAAUAAAAAACAAAGGUCUGAAAAGUUUUUCUCAUUCUAAACAUGCAAAUACAGGCAGAAAAUUGAUUAUUUGGAAUCCUGCGUGGAAUGCGCUUGUGAGGGCUGGUGAGGAGGCACAGGAAGUGCCUUCAGCAUCAUGUGUUUAGAUGGCUGGGCGGGAGGGCCAUCGAAGGACCCUGGAAUCGUUAGGACUGUUGGCGCUGACGAGGGCUAAGUGGACCAGAGAAGCCCGUGUCCUGUGGCUGUGGGUCUUGGGUGUGGGGAGUCAACAGAGCCGCUGGGUCCAAGUCUGAACUGUGUCCUGAAAUGCCUGCUAAAGCCUUCAUUGUUUCUGGUCUGCUUAGCACAGGUCUGCAUUAACACUGUGUAGAAUGGCUAUAGGCUUCCUAGAAAAUAUGAGCAAGGAUGGUAGUUUUGAGACACUCUGUUCUGUGUAAUUCUUGUUUUAGAAGAGGAUUCAUUCUAUGUUUGCCCAAGAUUCAUAAGGAGUCUGUGCAUACUAGACAAGAACUGACACUUCUGGAAGGUUUUAAUUUUCAAAGAACAUCCUAUGAUCUCAUUUGAUCCUCACAACAAAUCAGAAAAACAGGCAGGGUAGGUAUUAGACUCAUUUGCAGAUGAACAGACAGAAGCCUAAGGGAGGGUGAGUGGCGUGCUCACACAUGGCUGGCACCUGUGAAGCUGGGACUGCAUUUUCGAUUCUCCAAGCCAGCCCCAGCUUCCCAAUUCUGUGUAGAUAGCGGAUCAAACGCAGGUGGUUAGAAAAGAGUUUUGUUGCUGUGCCUUCUGUGAGCAAGAUCAGCCACGGGCAUGGUUAAAGGUGGAAUUAAGACUUCUUACCAACUCCACUAAGUAGCUCCUCUAGGCUUCAAAUGCCACUGAACAUUUUGGGAUCCACAGGGGAGAGUAGUGCCCACCCCCACUCCUGCCCAGGCUCCCAUUGUAAUUGCUUUUCCUGUGGCUCCCUGGGGCAGCAAGAUGUGGCAAGAGUCUACAGACUUGAAUGCUACUCCUAACUCUACUGCCAAUGGUUCAUGUGUCUUGGGCAACUGCGUUGACCCUCAGAGGAUAUUGAACUACAGCAGUGUUUCUCAAAGUGCUGUGCUUGGGCCACCUGUGACAAAGUUACGUGUGUGUGUGUGUGUGUGUGUGUGUGAAUGUCCUGUGUGUGUAUAUAUAUUCCCAGACUGCUCCCUAGAUCCACUGAAUCAGAGUCUCUGGGCUGGGGCAUCUUUUCCUUCAUUGAUUCAGAGACACACUCAGGUUUGACGACCACUAGGCUAGAGGCUCCCCAAGUAUCCUUCCAACUUAAUGCCUCCUUUCUGCAAUAACCCUCUUCCUUGACUCUGGGUGGGCUGAGAUUUCUGUAGCGAAGGGUAGGACUUGAUUUAACAGUAGAUUUAAAAAGCUGUUUCAGGCAGACUUGCAAAAACCUGAGAGUCCAAGGGGGAAGUUACAGAGUAGGGGAUGCAGGAGUGAGUGCGGAGUGAGAAGGUACCUGUGUGCCUGUUUCAGAAAUGAAAGUAACUUCCUAAACUCUGCUCAUGCCAAGCAAAAGUAUGGGUACUGUGUUGCCGCUUAUUAAAGACAAAAUAAAUCACUGUUCCAAGGAGACACUUCUUGCCUUUUCUUGCUAUCCUAUGUCUACUUCUCCAUGAUUCAGGUGCUGACGAGGACUUUCACCUGGGAGAAGAGCUCAUUCUUCCUAUCGUUUCCCUGGGAAGAACAUGGCUGAAACAACUUACUGUACAGACCACAGAAGUGAGACCAAAAACACUGAGAUGAGGAAGAGGUGGUUGGAUGAAUCUGAGGAUGUGGAACCCGUGGAUAUGGAGGGCUGACUCAACGCCUUGAUGAGCUUGAAGAUAAGUAUAUACCCCCGAAACCACCACCACAAACAAUGCCAUAAACUUAACCACUGCCUCUAAAAGUUUCCUCUCUCCUUUUUUCUACAAUAAGGAUAUUUAACAUAAGAUCUACCCUCUUAACAAAUGUUUAAGUGUAUAAUAUAGUAUUGUUAACUAUAUGCACUGUGUCGUACAGUAGCUCUCUAGGAUUUACUCAUCUUGCAUAACUGAAACUAUGUAUCUUUUGAUCAACACUUCUCCAGUUCCCCCUCCUCCCAGCCCCUAGUAAGACUAUUUUAGAUUCCUCAUAUAAGUGAGCACUUCACUAUUUUCAAACUGCAUUUGUAAAGUUGAUCUCCAGGUAGAGUUGCAAGAUAAAGUACAGGACACUCAACUACAUUUGCAUUUCAGAUAAACAACAAAUAAUUUUUAAAUAUUGCAUGGUUCAUACCUAGACCAAAAAAUUUUGUUGUUUAUCUGAAUCUCAAAUGUAGUUGGGCAUCCGGUAUUUUUUUUUGUUGUUGUUGUUAUUGUUGUUAAAUCUGGCAAUAUUAUCUCCAGGCAGAAGACUAGAAUUGUGGUUAAAGCACAAACACUGCUAACAUAGAAGUGGUUAGUACUUCAAGCUCUGCAGCUUAUUAACUUGGUGUCUUUGGGGAAGAUUUCUUUUCUUUUGAGUUGGAGUCUUGCUCUUAUUGCCCAGGCUAUAGUGCAAUGGCGUGAUCUUAGCUCACUGCAACCUCUGCCUCCAGGGUUCAAGUGAUUCUCUUGCCUCAGCCUCCAGAGUAGCUGAGAUUACAGGUGCCUGCCACCACGCCCGAGUGAUUUUUUGUAUUUUUAGUAGAGAUGGGGUUUCAACAUGUUGGCCAGGCUGGUCUCAAACUCCUCACCUCAAGUGAUCCACCCGCAUUGGUCUCCCAAAGUGCUGGGAUUAUAGGUGUGAGCCACUGAGCCCAGGCUUCUUCUUCUUUUUUUUUUUUUUCCCUUGCAACCAUAAUUUUCUUGUGUGUCUAUCACGCAUUGUGUGCCAGGCUGUGCUGUGAGAACUUCAUGAGAUAAUGCACAUACAGGCUCAACACAUAGUGCUUGCUAAGAAAGGUAUCGUUAUUCUCUCAUUCAAGCCUAGCACAAAAGACAUGUGAGGAAGACACUGAGUCUUCAUUUUAGAGAGGAGGAAACUGAGGCUCAAGGUUGUGAAGAAUCCUGGUGAGGCUGAUUUGAACCUGGAUUCCAGAAUCCUGCUCUUUUCUCCUUAGGCGGCUGGUGGGAAAUUGCCAGGUGAUUUCCAGGCCAGGGCCUUGCAUUGUAGACUGCCAGUUCAGAUGUCUUAGAUGGGACUCAGAAGGUGGGAUUCAAAGGGGCAGUGGUGCAAACCCAGUGGAAAUGGUUGCUAAACACAAAAGACAAGUAGGCGGUGUCUUCUUGGGCCAAACUCCCCAGUAAGCUGCUAUCAGUAGCAUUUGCUCAGGAGUGAAACACACACAAAGUGUGUUCCUGAGAACUGCUAAGCAAGUGAACUUUCCCUUCCCUUGGGUCAGCACCUUCCCUCUCAGGGAGGCCUGGAGCCCUUGGGAGCCUCUUGCUUCUGUGAUCCCUCUCCAGCCCCAUGGAGGAGGGAUGCUGGCUCGAGUUCCCCAUGUGGGGGUGGCAGCUGGCCUUCGCCACGGCUCCCACCUAAUGAAAACAUUGCAAGAUGGACAAAGCAUAAAGCAAAGCAGAGACACUGAUGUGUGGGCAGGUGUGAGCAAAUAAAUAAAUAAAUAAAUAAAUAAAGUUCCAGCACGAAAAGUUGAAUUGCUGACACAUGGGAUAUCUUAAUAGUGUGGGAAAAGAGGAUUAUGAGAUCAAAGGCCAUGAUAAGAGGGAGAUUAUUUCUUCACAACUCUGCCACAAAGAGGGACAGUCAUAUAGGAAGAGCAGGCACUUACACAUGCCCAUUUCUUUGAUUUCAAAGUGUGAAACACUCCACCAGAUUCCACAGAACCUGCUCCCACUCCUGACUCCCCAACCCUCCCACCCCUGCUGCCUCCCACCACUGCCUGCUUUUGCUGGUAGAAUGCAAGACUUCUAGUGCACACCAAAUUUGCUUCCCUGGGAUUUUAUUUCCAACUCAUAUUUUUAUUUUUUCAUAGCUAAGUGUUUUUCUCUGGCUUUUGAACAUCCUGGCUUUUGCUUGAAGUCUCAGCCCAUGUUCUUUAUUUGGUGGUAACAUUAGGAGUCAAUUUGGAGGUUUUAAACAAAUUAUUAUUAUUUCAUUUUUUAAGAAAAGGAAACCGGUUUGCCAGCAUUAUUGCUAAUUCUUAAAAUUCAAAGCAGUUUGUUAGAGACUGUUCUUUGGUCUUGGAGAUGGAGCCGAGUUUGGUUUAUAGCCCGUUGUCUUCACACCCAUCUUGGUGACUAAUACUGUAAGAUGGAUUUCCUUUUUUUUUUUUUUUUUCCUUCCUUGAAGUGGGUUUCAAAUUCCCAAAGAAUUUCUGGGAGGGGAAAAAAUCCUUUAAUUGAAAGCAAGAGAAAACAAAACAAUAAAAACAUAAGAGAGCGACAGAAAUAUCAUGUUUAAUGAAACCAAGUUCCAUCCCUGCAGAUGGAGGCACAGAAUGACCUAAAGAUAGAAAAACAAGUUUCUUUUAUGUGCCUUUUAAAGCUCGGUUUUAUUUUGAGGGUUGCCUGUGUGACUGACCAGAGCCUCACCGAGCCCUUUAGAGAGCAGGCAAGAGGAGUCCAGCCGCCCUCCACCUCCUUCGAGUCUCCCAGGCAUAAUGCACACUCAGACACUUUCCUCCUGGGGCCUCAGUUUCUUCUUUGUAAAUGGGCAGAUUCUUGUCUACCUCCAUGAGUUUUUGUAGGAUUCUUGGAGAUGAGUUAAGGAAAGUUCUUGGCACAAUGUCUGGCCCUUUUGAAAUGAUGCUGGCUAUUCUUGUGGCCUGAUCUUCCCCACCUGUGAGGCUCUGUGUGCAGGCAGACCAUAAUCUUCCAUCGAGUAGGGCUGGGCUUUGCACACCUGAGAGGCCUCCUGGGCCCUGAUGAUACCCGUGGACUGAACAAGUAACCAAGAAUAACAGAAUCAUUCAGGCAGGUUUCUUAAAAUAAACUAAGAAAGAAACCCUGAACAUCCUUUUUAAACAAAUUAGGCAAAACACAGAAAAAUAAAACAAAUUUUUAAAACUCCACAAAUCUGUAAUUAACUCUAUUUCAUUAGUAAUUAAUGACUUGAAAGUUUUCCUAUUCUGCUGUCAAUUCUUCCAUCUCUUUGAAAACCUUUCUGUCUUUUCCACCUUCUAUCUAUGGAAUUACUCUCCCAGAAGGCUGAGAGGACUUGGGUAUGUUUUGAGGCUAGAAAUGGACUUGACCCUUAUCCAUUAGAAAAGGGGCCGGGUACAGUGGCUCAUGCCUGUAAUCCCAGCACUUCAGGAGGCUGAAGCAGGCGGAUCACCUGCCAUCAGGGGUUUGAGACCAGCCUGGCCAACAUGGCGAAACUCCAUCUCUACUAAAAAUACUAAAAUUAGCUGGUCUUGGUGGCAGGUGCCUGUAAUCCCAGCUACGCGGGAGGCUGAGGCAGGAGAAUUGCUUGAAUCCAGGAGGCAGAGGUUGCAGUGAGCUGAGAUCACGCCACUGCACUCCAGCCUGGGUGACAAGAGUGAAACUCCAUCUCAAAAAAAAAAAAAAAAACAAAAAAACACACAAGAAGAAGAAGAAGAAGAAAAGGGCACUGAGGCUCUAAUAAUUGCGUAUGGUCUAUGAAAUUCCUAAAUAGCAGGGGCACCAUUUAUUCUGGAAUCUUCUUUGCUAGAGAAUAACAGAGGAUUGUGUAUCACUAAUCCACCUUUACUAUUCUUCACAUACACUGCUCCUGCCCAACCUAGAACAAUUUUAAGCACUUGGCUGGAGUCUCUGACUUUUCCUAUUACUCCUAACCUGCAGUUUUCCUCAUCUCA